GGGGGGUGGGGGGGGGAAAGGGAUAACACCAAGGUACCAUCUUUGCAUUUCAGAUCCACACAACUUAAAGAUCUGCUGCCGAGUGAACGGGGAAGUGGUCCAGAGCAGCAACACCAACCAGAUGGUAUUCAAGACGGAGGACCUGAUAGCCUGGGUCUCCCAGUUUGUCACCUUUUACCCAGGGGAUGUCAUCCUGACUGGGACCCCCCCAGGUGUCGGUGUAUUCAGGAAACCUCCUGUCUUUCUCAAGAAGGGGGAUGAAGUCCAGUGUGAGAUUGAAGAACUAGGUGUCAUCAUCAACAAGGUGGUGUGAUGGCUCCUGCACAGGCCCUGGACAUAGGAUGGGGGCAUCUGCUCCCGCUCAGCCUAGCCCAGGGAAAGGCCCAGUGACAGGUAUGGGCAGGUGCCGGCCCUGCAAGCCGCCUCUUCUGGGUAGAAGGGAGAAGGACAGAGCUCUCUUCAAUAAAUUUGUCAGGCCAAAGCAGCA